CGGGCAAUCUGACAGCCGCUCACAUUGAGACGAGAAGAGAAGCAUUAGAGAGAUACUUACAGAAGCUUGUUAAUAGUGAUCAUCACAUUGCAGCAUCUCAUGAACUCUCAGUGUUUCUUGAUGUCUACGAACAUGAUGUAUGUGCUGUGAUGAAGAAACUUGCACACUAUUUCUAUCUCUACGGUGACGAGCUGCUGGAGAAGAAGAUUGGAUUUUGUGCAACACCAGACCAACUCUAUUGUAUGUCCAAACAACUGAAAUUACCCGUCUACAAGUCAGGUCAGCCUUGUGUGAUGUGAUGCUGAUCUACUGUAUUGUUG